AUGAGUUUGGUAUGCGCAUUCCUGGCCGUCCUGACUACUGCGACUGCGAUCGUGGCCGGUAGCGACGAGGCUGCGUUGCUUGCUUUCAAAGCGCAGGUCAGCGAUGGCGGCUCGCUGGCCUCCUGGAAUAGCAGCGCCAGCUUCUGCAGCUGGGAAGGUGUGACAUGCAGCCACCGAAGGCCAGCGCGGGUGGUGGCGCUGAGAUUGAACAACAAGGCGCUCGCCGGAGAACUCUCCCGGGCCAUCGGGAACCUCACGUUCCUGCGGACGCUCAACCUGAGCUUCAACUGGUUCCACGGGGAGAUACCAGCGAGCCUUGGCCGCCUCCGCCGCCUGCAUAGGCUCGACUUGGGUGACAACUCCUUCUCUGGCACAUUACCAGUGAACCUGAGCUCAUGUGUCAGCAUGGCCAUAAUGGGACUGCUAAACAACAAGCUUGACGGGCGCAUCCCGGCUGAGCUCGGCGAGAAGCUCACGUCCCUGGUAAGGAUAUCACUGAGUAACAACAGCUUCACAGGGCUCAUCCCUCCAUCACUGGCCAACCUGUCCCGUUUGGAAAUCCUCGAUCUCUCACGCAACCAGCUCGUGGGCUCAAUCCCACCAGGGCUCGGAAGCAUCCGCGGCAUGCAACAGUUCAGUAUCGCCAGAAACCUCAUCAACGGUACGAUUCCAACUUCUCUCUACAAUUGGUCGUCGCUAGAACUAUUUGAUGUAGGGACAAAUAUGUUGUAUGGCAUUCUGGAUGAUUUCGGAAACAAGUUCCCCAAGUUGGAAUAUCUUGGCUUGCCUGGUAAUCACUUCACUGGAACAAUCCCGUCCUCAAUAUCCAACAUAUCGUCCCUCAUAUCGGUUGGCUUUGAUAGCAACAGAUUUAGUGGGUACUUUCCUCCCACAUUUGGGAAGCUGGGAGCACUUCAAUACUUGAACUUGAAUAACAAUAAGCUUGAAGCGAAUGACAACAAGGGGUGGGAAUUCAUCGCGUCUUUGGCAAACUGCAGCCAACUGCAGCUAUUGGGGCUCGGCGUCAAUUCUUUUGAAGGACAACUACCAGGUUCAAUUGUGAACCUGUCAACGACUCUCCAAUACUUGUACUUAGGUGACAAUAGGAUCUCUGGGAGUAUCCCUGCAGAUAUAGGCAAUUUGGUUGGUCUACAAACACUUGUGAUAGCUAACACGUCCAUGUCCGGAGUGAUUCCAAAGAGCAUUGGUAAGCUAGAGAACUUGAUCGAUCUAGCUUUGUACAACAAUAGCUUGUCUGGGCUCAUACCGCCAUCGCUAGGAAACCUUUCACAACUGAAUAAGCUUUAUGCACGUAACAGCAACUUGGAGGGACCAAUUCCGGCAAGCCUGGGGAAGUUGAAAAACCUCUUUGUACUUGAUCUAAAAAUGAAUUACCGUCUCAAUGGUUCAAUACCCAAAGAAAUUUUCAGAUUACCCAGCCUUUCUUGGUAUUUGGACUUGUCAUACAAUUCCCUUUCCGGACCCCUUCCUAAUGAAGUUGGUAGCUUGGCAAACCUUAACCUACUAGUUCUAUCAGGAAACCAGUUGUCUGGCAAGAUACCCGACAGUAUACAGAAUUGCAUGGUAUUGGAACAACUAUUCUUAGACAACAAUUCCUUUGAGGGAAACAUACCUCAGUCACUGACAAAUAUAAAGGGGCUCACUAUAUUGAACCUGACCAUGAAUAAGUUCUCUGGUAAUAUUCCUGAUGCCCUUGGCAAUAUUGGAAACCUGCAAGAGCUGUACGUAGCACACAACAACUUGUCAGGAUCAAUCCCAUUAGUUCUAAAGAAUUUGUCAUCAUUGUCUGAAUUGGAUAUAUCCUACAAUAAUUUGCAAGGCGAGGUGCCAAAUGAAGGUGUUUUCAGAAACAUCACUCACUUAGCGGUUGUUGGGAAUGUCAAUUUGUGUGGUGGUGCACCUCAACUUCAUUUGGCUCCAUGCCCCACAAGGGUCUUAAGCAAGAAGAGGAAAAAGAUGCCAAAGUCCCCUGUAAUUUCUCUAGCAGCAGUUGGAGCAAUCGUGUUCUCACUUUCGGUGAUUGUUCUUGUUUGGAGAUUUUGUAAGAAGCUCAAAUCAAGCCAGAAGACAGUAGCAAAAGAUUCAAUUGUUGAUGGCCAUUACAGAAGAAUCCCCUAUCCUGCAUUACUGAAAGGAACUAACGAAUUUUCAGAAGCCAACUUGCUUGGGAGAGGAAGUUAUGGUGCGGUUUAUAAGUGUGUUUUGGACAACGAAGAAAGAACAUUGGCUGUCAAGGUGUUUAACCUGGGUCAAUCUAGGUAUUCGAAGAGUUUUGAGGCUGAAUGUGAGGCUAUGAGAAGGAUACGACACCGUUGUCUCAUUAAGAUCAUUACUUCUUGUUCGAGCAUCAACCACCAAGGUCAAGAGUUCAAGGCAUUGGUUUUUGAAUUCAUGCCCAAUGGUAACUUGGAUAGCUGGCUUCAUCAAUCAUCUCAAGAUCCCACUACAAACAACACGCUCAGCCUUGCCCAGAGGUUCGAUAUUGCUAUCGAUAUUGUGGAUGCAGUAGAAUAUCUGCACAACUACUGCCAACCGUUGGUGAUCCAUUGUGAUCUUAAGCCAAGCAACAUUCUUCUUGCUGAAGACAUGAGCGCCCGAGUUGGAGACUUUGGCAUAUCAAGAAUCCUUCAAGAAAAUACAAGUGAGGGGAUGCAAAGUUCAUAUGGCUCAACUGGAAUUAGAGGUUCCAUAGGCUAUGUAGCUCCAGAGUAUGGAGAAGGCUCUGCAGCCUCUACAGCUGGUGAUAUUUAUAGCCUUGGCAUAUUGCUGCUUGAGAUGUUUACGGGAAGAAGCCCAAUAGAAGGCACGUUCGGAGAUUCAUUGGGUCUGCAUAAGUUUGUCGAGGACGCUCUUCCGGAUAGAACCUUGGAGAUAGCUGACCCGACAAUGUGGUUGCACAGCGGACAACACAAUAACACUACAAGUAUUAGAAUUCAGGAGUUAUUGGUUUCAGUCUUGAGCCUUGGCAUAUCCUGCUCAAAGCAACAACCUCGUGACCGACCACUGACAAGUGAUGCAACAGCGGAGAUGCAUGCAAUCAGAGAUGCAUAUCUCAAGUUCAUAGGGAAGCAUGGAGCAGAACGAGAAGCCUCGACUCAAGAAAUUCAGAGCAGCAUUGCAUAA
rnacentral:rRNA from 1 species